UACGGAGGAUGCGAGCGUUAUCCGGAUUUAUUGGGUUUAAAGGGUGCGCAGGCGGCACGGCAAGCCGGCGGUCAAAUCGCGGGGCUCAACCCCGCCCAGCCGUCGGAACUGCCGGGCUAGAGUGGGCGAGAAGUGCGCGGAAUGCGUGGUGUAGCGGUGAAAUGCAUAGAUAUCACGCAGAACUCCGAUUGCGAAGGCAGCGCACCGGCGCCCUACUGAUGCUCAGGCACGAAAGCGUGGGUAUCGAACAGG
rnacentral:rRNA from 1 species